ACAACGAAGAGUUUGAUCCUGGCUCAGGAUGAACGCUAGCGGGAGGCUUAACACAUGCAAGUCGAGGGGCAGCAUAAGGUAGCAAUACUUUGAUGGCGACCGGCGCACGGGUGAGUAACGCGUAUGCAACCUACCUUUUACAGGAGGAUAGCUUCCGGAAACGGAAAUUAAUACUCCAUACAUUCAUUCAGAGGCAUCUCUGAUUGAUUAAAGCUCCGGCGGUAGAAGAUGGGCAUGCGUAACAUUAGUUAGUUGGUGAGGUAACGGCUCACCAAGGC
rnacentral:rRNA from 1 species